rnacentral:lncRNA from 1 species
AGGCAAACUUCUAGCAGGAAAGAGGGUUGCUUGAAGAAAGUUGAAUAAAGGAACUACUUAUAAAGGUGUGCACACCUCUAUCUUCUGUACACUAAGGGGGAAGAGCUUCAGUGACCCCACCGUGGGAGUCUGGAGGAGUAGACACCUGACCUUACGCACUUCUCUGACACCUGCCAGUGCUGAAGACUCCAGAGGGUUGUACUUCAUGCAGAGUAGUAGAAGAAAAGAGGACAGUACCCCAUCGCUAAGAGCAUCCUAUGAGGAAACAAAGGUUAAAAAAGGUUACACAGCUAGUGAGCAGCAGAGCCCAGAUGUGAAUUCUAAGGGUGACUAUUGGUGUAAAUGUGUAAUUAGUACGCUUUUUU